AUUGAACGCUGGCGGAAUGCUUUACACAUGCAAGUCGAACGGUAGAGGGGGCAACCCCUCGAGAGUGGCGAACGGGUGAGUAAUAUAUCGGAACGUGCCCAGUCGUGGGGGAUAACGUAGCGAAAGUUACGCUAAUACCGCAUACGGUCUAAGGAUGAAAGCGGGGGAUCGCAAGACCUCGCGCGAGUGGAGCGGCCGAUAUCAGAUUAGGUAGUUGGUGGGGUAAAGGCUCACCAAGCCAACGAUCUGUAGCUGGGCUGAGAGGACAACCAGCCACACUGGAACUGAGACACGGUCCAGACUCCUACGGGAGGCAGCAGUGGGGAAUUUUGGACAAUGGACGCAAGUCUGAUCCAGCCAUUCCGCGUGCAGGAUGAAGGCCCUCGGGUUGUAAACUGCUUUUGUACGGAACGAAAAGGUCUCUCUUAAUACGGGGGACUCAUGACGGUACCGUAAGAAUAAGCACCGGCUAACUACGUGCCAGCAGCCGCCGCAG
rnacentral:rRNA from 1 species